UACGUAGGGUGCAAGCGUUGUCCGGAAUUAUUGGGCGUAAAGAGCUCGUAGGCGGUUUGUCGCGUCUGCUGUGAAAACUCGGGGCUUAACCCUGGGCCUGCAGUGGGUACGGGCAGACUAGAGUGCGGUAGGGGGGACUGGAAUUCCUGGUGUAGCGGUGAAAUGCGCAGAUAUCAGGAGGAACACCGGUGGCGAAGGCGGGUCUCUGGGCCGUAACUGACGCUGAGGAGCGAAAGCGUGGGGAGCGAACAGG
rnacentral:rRNA from 1 species